rnacentral:lncRNA from 1 species
GCCCAGGUUCCCUCCCUGACAAAUGAUUGAAUGACUUAGCGAAGUUCUUUUCUUUCAUCUAUUAACUUUUUUCAACACGUUUUGUUUCAACCAUUGCCUUUAGUCCAGGAGCCAUCUGUGACUCUCGUCAAUAACAAGUAAAUUCCCAAAGAAUAAAUACAAAAGGGUUUAUUCACUACAGAUUUUUCAAUCACAUGCAUUUCAUGUACUGACUUAAGCUGUAACUUGUAGUUUGGCUGAUGCUUCUAUUAGCUUAUGUAUGGGAACUGCUGAAUCACGACCUGAACCUCUGAUUGACCACCUGAGGCAAGCACCGAGUCAGCCAUGGGUGCACAGGUGAAGGUAAUUCACCUGUGCUACUGGAAGGGGUGGAGCCUGGCUGCACCUCUCCUAGAUCCCAUUUAAGGGCUGACUGCCACUGAGGAAGGAUCUCUUCCUAGAGGUUGCUGUUUGUGGAGGAUGUUGUGUGCUUUCAACAUUGAAGAUCAACAACUGCCAAGGAAAUACCAACUUACUUCUGUACUUCAGGGGCAUCCAGGAAAGUGCUCAGAAGCAUGAGACAAAACGUAGAGAGUUUGCAAACUAAAGGCAAGCAACAAGCAGUGGAUGGACCAAAGAUAGUUCCCUCUGGACAUAGCAUACAGCAACUAAGAUUCAUGUUUAAAGGGUUACAUGUUACAGUUUCAAACAAUGGUUUACACUCCAUGGAAAAAAAUACUGCAGAGACAUGCUUUGCAUGGAAUUGGAUAACUGAAUUUUGCAAGAAUAAUAGCUGAAACUGGCCUUCAGACCUUCUAGUUGUAGUACUGGAAGGAGAAGAUUGUGACCUCAAGUCAAUGGAUGAUAAAUACACUGUGCUUAAAAAAAACUGCUGGAGAACAUCAAGGAGAGAAGAAAACUGACCCAGUGUCUAAAUGUCUAGUUCUGGUCUCUCUUGAACAGUAGCUCAUUAUACCUACCUGAAAA